rnacentral:rRNA from 1 species
GUCUUCUCCUCCUCCUCCUUCCGCUCCGCGCUUCCUGCCAUCAUCCGCGAGGCAGAGGGGUGGCGGCGGCAGGUGAGGCGCGCAAAGAAGCGGGAGCGGAAGAGCCUGGCCACUCGACGGGAGGGAGCGAUGGCGGACUCGACGUCGCCGGCGGCGGCGGCCAGGCUGGAGAAGAGCUACUUCGACGUGCUGGGCAUCUGCUGCCCGUCCGAGGUGCCGCUGGUGGAGAAGCUGCUGGAGCCGCUCGCCGGCGUGCACAAGGUCACCGUCGUGGUGCCGUCCCGGACCGUCAUCGUCCUCCACGACGCCGCCGCCAUCUCCCAGGCCCAGAUCGUGAGGGCGCUGAACGGGGCGCGGCUGGAGGCGUCGGUGCGGGCCUACGGCGGCGCCGGGCAGAGCAAGGUGUCCAACAAAUGGCCCAGCCCGUACGUGCUCGUCUGCGGGGUCCUUCUGGUGGUCUCGCUCUUCGAGCACUUCUGGCGGCCGCUCAGGUGGUUCGCCGUGGCGGGUGCCGCCGCCGGCCUGCCGCCGAUCGUGCUCAGGAGCGUCGCCGCCCUCCGCCGGCGCACCAUGGACGUCAACAUACUCAUGCUCAUCGCAGUUGCUGGGGCCAUUGCUCUGAAGGACUAUCCCGAGGCCGGGUUCAUCGUCUUCCUCUUCACCAUAGCCGAAUGGCUCGAGACCAGGGCAUGCGGCAAGAGACUGGACAAGUGGUUGCUACCCAGGAUGUGAAGAUCAAUACAGUAAUAGCUGUCAAGGCAGGGGAAGUCGUGCCGAUCGAUGGUGUUGUUGUCGAUGGACGGAGUGAGGUCGACGAGAGCACCCUCACUGGGGAGUCCUUCCCGGUGUCCAAGCAGGCAGACUCCCAGGUCUGGGCUGGCACGCUCAACAUAGAUGGUUACAUUGCUGUGAGGACAACUGCUAUGGCCGACAACUCUGCGGUGGCCAAAAUGGCAAGGCUGGUUGAAGAAGCCCAAAACAGUCGGUCCAGUACGCAGAGGCUGAUCGACACUUGCGCCAAGUACUACACACCCGCUGUUAUUUUCAUGUCUGCAGCAGUGGCAGUGAUCCCUGUGUGUGUCAAAGCGCGCAACCUAAGACACUGGUUUGAACUGGCCCUAGUUCUCCUGGUGAGUGCUUGUCCAUGUGCUCUGGUGCUGUCGACACCCGUGGCAACCUUCUGCGCGCUGCUGAGGGCCGCGAGGACGGGGCUCCUCAUCAAAGGAGGGGAUGUGCUCGAGUCCUUGGCCAGUAUCAAAGUUGCUGCCUUCGACAAGACUGGUACAAUCACUAGGGGUGAGUUCUCUGUCGAGGAGUUUCAGACAGUUGGUGAGCGUGUUUCGAAGCAACAACUUAUUUACUGGGUUUCAAGCAUCGAGAGCAGGUCGAGCCACCCAAUGGCAUCUGCUCUUGUUGGUUAUGCUCAAUCAAACUCUGUAGAGCCAAAAUCAGAAAAUGUUGCUGAGUUUCAAAUCUAUCCUGGCGAGGGGAUUUACGGUGAGAUUGAUGGGGAGGGCGUAUAUGUUGGGAACAAAAGGAUCUUGGCAAGGGCAUCGUGUCAAACAGUUCCGGACAUAGUAGAACACAUGAAAGGAGUUACCAUCGGAUACGUGGCCUGCAACAAGGAAUUGAUUGGGGUAUUCAGCCUCUCGGAUUCUUGCCGAACUGGGUCAGCCGAGGCCAUCAAGGAGUUGAGAUCACUGGGCAUCAAGUCAGUGAUGCUUACUGGCGAUAGUACUGCCGCUGCCACACAUGCACAGAACCAGCUGGGGAACAUACUAGCUGAGGUUCAUGCUGAACUUCUGCCAGAAGACAAAGUGAGAAUUGUUGAUGAACUGAAGGCAAGAGAUGGCCCUACACUGAUGAUUGGCGACGGCAUGAAUGAUGCCCCGGCACUGGCUAAGGCUGAUGUUGGAGUCUCCAUGGGCGUGUCCGGUUCAGCCGUCGCAAUGGAGACGAGUCACAUUACUCUGAUGUCAAACGACAUCCGCAGGAUCCCAAAGGCAAUCAAGCUGGCCAGGAGGACGCACCGGACCAUCGUCGUGAACAUUGUCUUCUCGGUGACCACGAAGCUUGCAAUUGUUGGGCUUGCGUUUGCCGGGCAUCCGCUUAUUUGGGCAGCAGUCCUUGCUGAUGUUGGCACAUGCUUGCUGGUGAUCAUGUACAGCAUGCUGCUACUGAGGGAGAAAGGCAGUGGAAAGGUGGUGAAGAAAUGCUGUGCUUCUUCUCACUCAAAAAAGCAUGAGCAUAGUACGUCCCACCACCACUGCUCCAAUGAUCAUCAGCAUGACCAUGUAUCUGCAGGCAAGCAUUCUUGCCAUGAUCAUCACCAUGAGCAUGAUCACCACAAAGAGCCUAGCAACCUGCAUUCCACAGACAAGCAUGGCUGCCAUGAUCAUGGCCAUGGCCAUAGCCACUGCAAAGAGCCGAGCAGCCAGAUGGUGACAAGCAAGCAUGUUUCCCAUGGGCAUGGCCAUACCCACAACAUCUGCAGCCCUCACCCCGCUGUGAGCAAGCAUGAUUGCCAUGACCAUGAACAUAGCCACCACCAAGAACCCAACAGUUCACAUUCUGCCGAUGAGCAUGAUUGCCAUGAUCACAAGCACUGUGAAGAACCAAUCAGCUUGCUUUGUGCCACUGAGCAUGCUUGCCACGACCAUGAGCAGAACCAUGAGCAUCAUUGCUGUGAUGAAGAGCAAACAGUGCAUGUAGCAGAUACGCAUUCCUGCCAUGACCAUAAGCAUGACGACAGUGCGGCUGAUCCAGUUCCAGAGCUGUCGAUAUCUAUCGAGAGCGCAUUGCCUGAUCACCAUGAGCAGGAAAUCCAGUGCAUCAAAGAGCACAAAGAGAAAGCGUGUGGACAUCACCUGAAGGUCAAGGAUCACGUCCCGGCUCCGACAGAUUGCAGCAGGGGAAACUGUCACAGUACGGUGAGCAGCAAGGGAUGUGAAAGCAAAGGCAAAGAAGUUUGUUCAAGCUGGCCGGUUGGUCGUACCGGAAUAAUCCGCAGGUGUUGCAGGACUAGGGCGCGCAGCUGCUGCAGCCACAGCAUGUUGAAACUACCUGAGAUUAUAGUAGAGUAGGAUGGAAAGCAUAGAUGUUAUGUUGGUAAGAUAACCGAAGCGAGUAAUACUAUCUAGAAAGAAACAGCACUGCUGAAGUCGCCUGGUCGGCAUAUAUAGCUAGAUUCCCAUGGCUGAUGAUAGAUAUUUGAUCUGGCUUUGCUUACUUAGCUGCUGAAGAAAUGGUGUAGAAGUCUUAAUUUUCAUGAAGCAGGUGUCAUUCUGAAAUGAUAUGCUGCUCUGGUUUUCUCCUUGUUGAUUCUGCACCUUCCCGAAGAAUUUGAGAAGGUGCAAAGUGAGAGGUUUGUUCAUAGUAUCAGUGUGCUUCAGCAAUAAUUGGAAGAAGCUGGUGCAGAGAUCAGUUUAUAACUUCUUAUUAGGCUUCUUUAUCAGAGUUCAAAGUUGUAAUCAUACUUGACUUGUGUUGAUGGAAAACUUUUAACCAAGUUGGUUUAUUAUGAAACGUUUCGGAAUGUCGCAUAGAAUCAUUGUUGGUCAAGUUAUGAAAUGCUGUAUCCCUUUAAUGCGUUGUCAGUGUCUCGCAUUACAUUAAGGCAGUAAUCUUUUAAGGAUGUAAACUGCAGUUGUGCAGUUGUGGCGAGAACUUAUGGAAACCUGUAAACAUAAGUUUAAAACCCC